UGGUCUCAGUGCCUCACCCCCAGAUCUGCAUCGGAAUGUAGAAAAGAUCUUUUUUUUUUUUUUAAAGAAAAAAAGUUUUGAAUUCCUCAAUGAUUUUUCUUCUGGAAAGGCAGCUUAGGAUAAUUAUUUCAGCUUUAUUGAGGGCAGAUUAGUUGAAGUCUGGACGCUGCGUUUUCAAUACACGUUGUACACGGGCCGACAAUGUGG
rnacentral:lncRNA from 1 species